GGUGCAGCAGGCGCGAAAACUUUUCAAUGCGCGAAAGCGUGAGAAGGGAAUUCCGAGUGCUCAACAUAGUUGGGCUUUUGCUAAGUGUAAAUAGCUUGGCGAAUAAGGGGUGGGUAAGACUGGUGCCAGCCGCCGCGGUAACCCCAGCGCCCCGAGUGGGAAUCACGAUUAUUGGGUCUAAAGCGUUCGUAGCAGGCUUUGUAAAUCUCUUGUGAAAUCGACAGGCUUAACUUGUCGGCGUGCAGGAGACACUGCAGGGCUCGAGACCGGGAGAGGUUAGAAGUAUUCCUUGGGUACCGGUAAAAUGGGUUAAUCCAAGGAGGACUACCAAUGGCGAAGGCAUCUGACCAGAACGGUUCUGACUGUGAGGAACGAAAGCUAGGGGAGCAAAACGGAUUAGAUACCCGAGUAGUCCUAGCCGUAAACGCUGUGAGCAAGGUAUUGCGCAUCCCACGAGGAUGCGCAGUGUCGAAAUGAAGAUGUUAAGCUCACCACCAGGGAAGUACGGUCGCAAGGCUGAAACUUUAAGGAAUUGGCGGGGGAGCGCCACAAGGGGUGCGGCGUGCGGUUCAAUCUAACUCAACGCAGAGAACCUCACUAGGCCCGACGGCAGGAUGAAGAUCAUGUUGAAGACAUUAUCUUGACGAGCCCGAGAGUAGUGCAUGGCCGUCGCCCACUCUGCUUUGAAGUGUCCAGUNAGUCUG
rnacentral:rRNA from 1 species